CCUCAUCAUAAUGACCUCAGAAAGUGGGAGUGCUCACCUUCAGAAGUGAGACACACAGAAGUCACGGGACCAAAACUACUAGUCACCCAGAAAAAUCGCACUCCCAAGUCCAGCUCUAUGGCAGCCUAUCUCCAGCACGCAUGUGAGGAAGUCAGAGAACACAGACUUGUAGCUACAAGACCUGCUGCAUGGUGAACCACUUCCCAUACAUCUACAUCACAGCAGUGCUUAACAGCACCAUCUCUCAUCUCCACACCCACCCUGAAAAUGGGAGGCUGCACCCCAUUUUACAGAUGAAGACACACAGUAGGAAGAGGAGAUAGUGACAAUUGAAAACCAAGGGCUGCUCUGUCCAGCAUCACCACAUACAGAUGUAAACUUGGAUCUCAGUUGCUUAAUCUCUCUGAUUUUAAGAUUCCUCAUAGCUAAAGCAAAAUAAUAUCUACCUCACAGCAUAGGUCAAAGGCAAAUGAAAUCACCUUCAGAGAAUUCAUGAGUCUGUGGAUUGCUGAAAGACAGGACCAGACCCGACUAUGGUGGAUGUUCACUGUGUGUUGGUCAAAGUAACCUGUGAAUGGAUUAGUAAUUGAAAUAAUGAAUAAAUGCUUCUAAGCCCA